UACGGAGGGUGCAGGCGUUAUCCGGAUUCACUGGGUUUAAAGGGUGCGUAGGUGGGCAGGUAAGUCAGUGGUGAAAUCUCCGGGCUUAACCCGGAAACUGCCGUUGAUACUAUUUGUCUUGAAUAUUGUGGAGGUAAGCGGAAUAUGUCAUGUAGCGGUGAAAUGCUUAGAUAUGACAUAGAACACCAAUUGCGAAGGCAGCUUACUACACAACGAUUGACGCUGAGGCACGAAAGCGUGGGGAUCAAACAGG
rnacentral:rRNA from 1 species